UUCUUGUCUUGUUGGUUGCCGUAGGGAGUUUGCUUUAGCUACUUUGAUCAGGCCUUCAGCAACAACUGCUUCUUUUGAGAGAAACUUCUAUUCUGAAUGGCUAUAACUUGAGAAGUUGCACAAACUUUUGGUCUGAAAGGGGCUUUACCUUGAAAAUACGAUGACAGAGAGAUUUUGCCCACCUACCUGCAGGUUGACAUGUGAGCUAAAGUGUUCUGUUAAUUACGGUACGCUUGAGAACAUAUUUGAAAUGUGCAUUCAGCAUCCAAUGCACAUGUCAAAUAUGAAUUGAUA